rnacentral:rRNA from 1 species
GACGAACGCUGGCGGCGUGCUUAACACAUGCAAGUCGAACGGAAAGGCCCUGCUUUUGUGGGGUGCUCGAGUGGCGAACGGGUGAGUAACACGUGAGUAACCUGCCCUUGACUUUGGGAUAACUUCAGGAAACUGGGGCUAAUACCGGAUAGGAGCUCCUGCUGCAUGGUGGGGGUUGGAAAGUUUCGGCGGUUGGGGAUGGACUCGCGGCUUAUCAGCUUGUUGGUGGGGUAGUGGCUUACCAAGGCUUUGACGGGUAGCCGGCCUGAGAGGGUGACCGGCCACAUUGGGACUGAGAUACGGCCCAGACUCCUACGGGAGGCAGCAGUGGGGAAUAUUGCACAAUGGGCGGAAGCCUGAUGCAGCAACGCCGCGUGCGGGAUGACGGCCUUCGGGUUGUAAACCGCUUUCGCCUGUGACGAAGCGUGAGUGACGGUAAUGGGUAAAGAAGCACCGGCUAACUACGUGCCAGCAGCCGCGGUGAUACGUAGGGUGCGAGCGUUGUCCGGAUUUAUUGGGCGUAAAGGGCUCGUAGGUGGUUGAUCGCGUCGGAAGUGUAAUCUUGGGGCUUAACCCUGAGCGUGCUUUCGAUACGGGUUGACUUGAGGAAGGUAGGGGAGAAUGGAAUUCCUGGUGGAGCGGUGGAAUGCGCAGAUAUCAGAGGAACACCAGUGGCGAAGGCGGUUCUCUGGGCCUUUCCUGACGCUGAGGAGCGAAAGCGUGGGGAGCGAACAGGCUUAGAUACCCUGGUAGUCCACGCUGUAAACGGUGGGUACUAGGUGUGGGGUCCAUUCCACGGGUUCCGUGCCGUAGCUAACGCUUUAAGUACCCCGCCUGGGGAGUACGGCCGCAAGGCUAAAACUCAAAGGAAUUGACGGGGCCCCGCACAAGCGGCGGAGCAUGCGGAUUAAUUCGAUGCAACGCGUAGAACCUUACCUGGGUUUGACAUGGAUCGGGAGUGCUCAGAGAUGGGUGUGCCUCUUUUGGGGUCGGUUCACAGGUGGUGCAUGGCUGUCGUCAGCUCGUGUCGUGAGAUGUUGGGUUAAGUCCCGCAACGAGCGCAACCCUUGUUCACUGUUGCCAGCACGUUAUGGUGGGGACUCAGUGGAGACCGCCGGGGUCAACUCGGAGGAAGGUGGGGAUGACGUCAAGUCAUCAUGCCCCUUAUGUCCAGGGCUUCACGCAUGCUACAAUGGCUGGUACAGAGAGUGGCGAGCCUGUGAGGGUGAGCGAAUCUCGGAAAGCCGGUCUCAGUUCGGAUUGGGGUCUGCAACUCGACCUCAUGAAGUCGGAGUCGCUAGUAAUCGCAGAUCAGCAACGCUGCGGUGAAUACGUUCCCGGG